rnacentral:lncRNA from 1 species
GGGUCCACUCCCCUGUGGGUGCCCUGGGCUCUGACCCUAAUAAGCUCGCACCUCCCCUCCUUUGCCAUCUCUUCUCUUCCCCAUGCCCUGCCUUUGGAUGGAUUCUUUCCUCUGAAGUUAACAAGUUUCUUUGCUUUCUCUGCUUGGCUAAACCCUUCUCCAUCUAUAUUUUAAACUUAGGCAUCUUGUCCUCUGGGAAGCCUGUCCUGAACCUUGGAGGGGGACGAGAUGGCCCUUGUCUGUACCCUCUGACCCUUCUUGCGUCCCCUUGCAGCAUUGGUCAUGCCAUAUUGUACCUGUCUUUCGGUGUUCCUGCUGCCCGCAGGCCUGGAAGCUUCAGACAGACAGGAUCUUGCAUUUUGGCUACUCCUGCACAUGGCCCAGAGUCUGGUAACCAGGUCAGUAAAUGUUUACUGAAUAUGUAAAUGAAAGAAGCCUUAAUUUGAUAAGAUCUUCCUUAUGGUAGUUUGGGACGCCAUAAACCUAGAAGAGAUUACUAUCAGGUAUUUGCAGCUGGUAGAAAACUGUCCCCAAAGAAUUUAGAGAGGGCAGACCUAAAUCAGACAAUAAAGGUAUGAUGAUUUUUAAAAACUGGAAAGGGUGGGAGAUAAGAUGCAGAGGUGACUGAACCUGGGGAGGAUUUCUUCAACAGGUAACACACCCAAAUGAUUCAGCUUCGAGACCGAUGAGGUGUUAAAUUCUGCUUCUGGGGCCAAGCAGUUCAUUAAACUCAUACAAAUCAUGGGAGGAGAACUUGUCUGCAAGCAAUCCCUGAAUGAACCAAGAAUGUGGUAGAAGCUGACAAAAUUUUAUUAUUAUUGUUAUUAGCCAACAAUGACUAUUGUUAUUAGUUAUGUAUUGAGUACCCACUAAAUGGGCAUAUCAAAGGAUGCUUCUAAAUCAUUACCUCAUCUAUUAAACCCCAUAGCAUCUCUGUGAUGUAGGUAAUAUGAGCCCUACUGUGUGAACGAGGAGACUGAGGCUGAGGCUGAGGAAGAUUGAGCAGGAAGAGACAGCACCCACAGGGCAACUGCAAAGGCUGAUUAAAGGAGGGGCAGCCUCACUUAUUCUGCACUAUUGCUCCACGGGGGGCAGCUUGGUUCUAUUCUUCGGGCCCAUUUGAAGAUGCUCAUGGACCAACCAGAGCACAUUCCCAGCAGAGAGGCUGAUGAGGACUUAGAGGUGACCAUGAAUCAGUCCUUGUCUUCUCAGAUUCCUGAUUCAUCUGAGAAAUACAAAAAGAAGCCAGGUAGAUAUAAAUCUGAAUGUCGGCUUUUUUUUUUUUUUUUUCAGAAUGAACUUGAGUUGCGGUUAAACAGACAUGCGAAUCCUGCACCCCCACUCCAAGCACUGAGUAUAUCUUCCAGAACCAUAGCCUCUGCCUGGGGGAGGACUGAGCCUGCCCAGCAAGCUCACCGCAAGCUGGGAGAAGCCCAGACUCUGCAGGCACGUGGUUCUGCAGAACGAGCCCUGGAUGGACUCAGGCAGGCACACCCAGUGAUCUCUCCUAGAUUCAACAAUCAGGCCAGCAGCUGGUGUGACACUAAAUCUUCCCAGAGAAACAUAAACCCAGGAAAUGACAGCCUUGUCCCUAGCAUUGGCCUCAAUGCUCAUUGACAUAUCGAAGAAACUAAAGGGUGAAAGGAGGUGAUGGUUAAUUUUAUGCAUCACCUUGGCUGGAUGAUGGUGUCCAGUUAUUUGGUCAAACACUAGUCUAGAUGUUGCUUGAAGGUAGUUUUUAAAGGUGGUUAAAAUUUAACUCAAAAUAUUCCGAGUAAAGCAAAUUGCCCCCCAUGGUAUGGGUGGGUCUUAUCCAAUCAGUUGAAGGCCUUAAGCACAAGGACUGAGGUUUCCUGAAGAAGAAAUUCUCCUCAAGACGGCAACAUCGACUCUUACCUGAUUUUCCAACCUGCCUUACAGACUGCAGCCUUGCCAGUCCCACAACUGCAUGAAUCACUUCCUUCUCUCAAUCUCUCUUUCUAUUGUGUGUCUGUGUGUGUAUUCGCCUUCUGGUUCUGUUUCUCUGGAGAACCCUGCCGAUACAACCGACUAUGUUGAAUCUGUAGCAGAAGAGGUAGGGUGAUGGCCAUGAAAGCCAUGUUCGAGUUUCUAAUGGGUUCUCUAGGAUGAGGUCUUGGGCUUAUUUAAUGUGUCACAUCACUCUGACUAUCUUGAGAUGCUUGAGUAUCUGAGAUGCUUUAGAUAGUGCCUGAUGGGUCUUAUCAGUGGUGCUACAGAAAAGACGCUCAUGUUACAAGAAAGCUGAAUCAGAUGGCUGCCUGCUAGGGGUACUUCAAACUGUUUUGAGGACACUGACAUUAUCUAAUGCUUCUGUUAAAUAAUUAUAAUGUGAUCCCCCCCCCCUACAUUUUAACAUUUGUGACGUUCUUUCACGUCUAUUAAUUUACUGGUUUUCCCAUACCGCAUAGCACAUAACUAGGCAAUUAUGAAACUGAGUUGAGAAUGUAAUAAUGGCAAAUUAAGAACCAAAUUUCAACUUUAAAUUAACUUGUAUUUCUCUGUUUUCUUCCCUCUGCUUUGUCCCUAUGUAUUUCUUUUAAAGUACUCAUUUUUUAUGACCAGCAUGUUAAUAAUGUUCUAUUAUUCCUUGGUUAUUUAAUUAUAAAUUAAAAUACAUAACUCACAGGAUUUCUGACCAGAACAAAGCAAGAAAUGAAAAUACAAACGAGAAAGUAACCUAAUUUGGAAAUAACAUUUCCCUGAAGUCAAUUACAUUGUUUUCAUAGGAAACACAACUGGAAGGAGGAAUCUGUCUGUUAAGUUCAUCCAGAAGAAGAAAAGAGGUAGUGGAAUAUAAAAAAGCACUGGCUUUUUAACUGCUAAUGAACACCAGCUUUAUCAUUUCUAGGGAGGAGGAGUUUGCUUUUAGUUUUCCUCUUCCAGUGAAACAUUUUACUGCCUCCUGCCUAGCAAAGGGACUUGGACUUGAACCUGAGACUUGAGACCAUGUAAAUAGCUGGUCUGGAAAUUUCUAGCCGAUUCCAUCCCCUGUCCCUCUCGCAUGGUUACAUGCCCUCCCUUUUCCCUCUGAAUUAUCCUGUCAACAUUCUUGGUCUUGCCAGCGUGGCCACAGCCUGUCCCAAAUGCAUUGAAUGUGUGUAUAUAAACGUGGGAGUGAGGUGGGGCUGGGGCUUUGGGGGAUGGAAGUGAUUACGGGGAAAGGCCAGUUCAGAGAGCUCUGGGCUCCUGACUGCAGUAACCCAGUGAACAGGGCAGGUGUAAUUUCUCAGGCCUGUCUUUAUCAGUCUGUAGACCUGGAUUCCUGGAACAUCCUCCCUCUUGAUCUGCAGAGCAGGGAUGGGUCAGCCUGGGCCUCGCUGCAGUAUGGCCUCAGGGUGUCCAGGCUGAGGCCAAGAUGGGUACUUGCUUGCUGGUAUGGGGUGCAUGGGUAUUCUCCCACCCCCUUCCCAUCAGGAAGGACUGGGGUGAGCCUGGGGGCCUGAAUGGGAGUCCCAGACCCGCUUCUCUUGGGCUGCGUGACCUUGGGCAAGUCUCAUCUUCUCUGGGCCAUCUGUGGAUGGAUGGGUCAGACGGUGGCCACUUGGGGACAGGGAGCCAAGAUGGCGCUGACCACACCGACCUCCUCGCUCCCCUUACCUGCUAUUGUGCACUGAGGACUUAGCGGGAGAUGUGUCCUCCCACCAAGGGCCUCUCCCACCAGAAAAACAAGUUUUUAUAAAGUGAGUGAUUUCUAGGUUCAUGUCCAGCUCUGAAAUCGCCAGGCAGGCCUCGACGCAGCGUCCUCAAUUUGAAGCCCUCUGGUGAUUGGGUUUAUACAUCCUUUCAAAGGUCUGGAACCCUCCUCUGAAGAUGUGUUUUCUGGUGGUGGGUUUAGCAACUCUAUUUUUUCCCCCUUAAUCUAUUUCCUUUUACAAAGAACAAAUGCCCCCAAGUACAAUUUGCACCCAGAUUACUAGACUCUCAACUUAAAACAUUACCAAAAGCUAUAAUUUAGAAAUUCUUUUAUCUAUCCCGAGCUAAUAGCAGUUUUGCAUGUCUUGAUAUUGUUUUCAUAUGCUUCCUUAGCCCCCUCCCCUUCGGUUAUUAUCUCUGGAAUAUGUGCGGGUUUGUUUAAUUUUAGUGCUGAAUUUGGGAUAUGGAAGAGAUUACUCUUAAUUAUAUUAUUUAUUGAAAUGUAAUAUCUUUAUAAGGACCUUCUGUGUUACAGAAGCAGUAUGCUUUUUUGGGAGGACAUUGCAGAAAGUUUGCAGAGGUGAGGAUCUGAAUGAAAUAGGAUCUAAAGCCCCAGGAAGGAUCUAUUCCUCAGCAUCUCCAGACCAAAUUCUCAGAUACUUCCCUCAUCACGAAACACUCACCUUGGCCUAGUAGCCAACCAGUUCAGUACUGUUUUUCUCCAAUUCAAGGAACCCCUUAGGCCUUUUCUAAAACAAUUGCCCAGGGAGAUUAAUGCAUAUUGAAUUGGGUUGAGUUGAUUGGGUAUUUUCCCUCUUGUUGGCCUGGUGAUUGUGAUCCUGUCUCUCAACCUGCACCAGGCAGAACCAGAGCCCACAUGACUUUAUUUAUUUCUUUAGUCUUUUUAGGGCUGCACCUCCAGCAUAUGGAAGUUCCCAGGCUAGGGGUCAAAUCGGAGCUGCAGCAGCCUGCCUACACCACAGCCAUAGUAACGUGGGAUCCGAGCCACGGCUAUGACCUAUGCCACAGCUCAUGGUAACACCAGAUCCUUAACCCACCGAUCAAGGCCAGGGAUUGAACCUUCAUCUUCAUGGAUACCAGUCUGGUUUGUUAACCACUGAACCAUGAUGGGAACUUCCCACAUGACUUUAAAAAAAGAUAUAAUGCUGGUAAAAAAAAAAAUAGAAAGUUAGGAGUUCCUCUUGUGGCUCAGUGUGUUACAAACUCAACUAGCAUCCAUGAGGAUUUGGAUUUGAUCCCUGGCCUUGCUCAGUGGGUUAAGGUUUUGGUAUUGUCAUGAGCUGUGGUGUAGGCCACAGAUGUAUGUGGCUUGGAUCUGGCAUUGCGGUGGUGUAGGCUGGCAGCUGCAGCUCCAAUUCAACCCCUAGCCUGGGAACUUCCAUUUGCUGUAGGUGUGGCCCUAAAAAGAGCAAAAAAAAAAAAAAGAAAAAGAAUAGUAAGCAAAUCCUUGGUCAAACUGUGCCCCCAAUAAGAAAAAAAAAUAUUCCAUCUCAUCAGAUUUCUCACUUUGUCCGUAAAAUGUCCAUAUUUCUUUGUGCCUGCUAGUUGGUCAGGACUUGGAAGUAACCAGCUUUGGGACUAGGGCCCAGACAGUAAAUGCUGUGCUGUUAUGAGAGCAGGACUGGCUCCAUGAUUUGUGGGGCUCACUGCAAAAUGAAAAUGUGAGGCUCUAUGUUGACCAAUUAUUGGGGAUUUCAAGAUGGCAAGGAUAAAGCGCUAAACUAAGCACAAGGCCCUUUGAGGCUUGGUGCCUUGUGACUACACAGAAUCACCCUUUGUGCAGCCGGCCCAGGUUCAGGACUGGGAAGCAUCCAUCACCUCCUCUUCCUUCCUGGGCCCACAUUUGUCUUGGAGAUCUGCAUCCCCUUCUCCCGGCUCAGGGAACUGCUUCCCUCCUUCCACAUUCACUCCACAUUUGAGACUAUCUCUAAGUAACAUGCAUGUGUUGGUACCAAGUAAAUCACAGUGCCAUCGACUCCUCAAAGGCCUGAUGAAAGGCCUCAGAGGAGAGGCAGCCUCAUGGCUCCCAGCAAGGCUGCUCUGCUCCCUCUGAGCUACCCCGUGUGCACAUCCUCAACCUCGCUUCCAACUAUGGAGUUUUCUCUCCCUUUGAAUCUGACAAAAUCCUUUGUAAUUCUCCUUAAAUGUUCCAGGGCUUUUUCCCCUUUUUCAAAUCAUUGUUCUCAAUGCCUGCCAAAUGCUUUAGAUCUUCCCCUCCUUGUCUUUAUUGUAAAUACUUUCCUUACUCGUCAAUAGCAAUAUUAUGGCUAUACAUAGUAGCAAAAAUCUCUACAGCUAUCAGGCUUUCUUUAUCCUUCUGUUCUCAAAGAAUUUGUCUCACUCUAUUAGUGUUUAUGUAAUUCUUCUAAUAGAAUGAUUUUUAAAAACAUUUAUUGAAGUAUCGUUGAUUUACAAUGUUGUAUUAAUUUCUGCUGUACAGCAAAAUUAUUUGGUUUUAUAUAUACACACAUUCUUUUUCAUAUUCUUUUCCAUUAUGGUUUAUCACAGGGUAUGGAAUAUAGUUCCCUGGGCUAUACUGUAGGAGCUUGGUCAUCCAUUUGCUAUAUAAUAGUUUGAAUCUGCUAAUCUCAAACUCUCAUUCCAUCCCUCCCCCUCCCCCUUGGCAACCACAAGUCUGUUCUCUAUGUCUGUGAAUCUGCUUCUAUUUCAUAGAUAAGUUCCUUUGAGUCAUAUUUUAGAUUCCCCAUAUGAGUGAUAUAAUUUGGUAUUUGUUUUUCUCUGUCUGACUUACUUCACUUAGUAUGAUAAUCUCUAGGUCCAUCCAUGUAGCUUCAAAUGGCAUUAUUUCAUUCUUUUUCAUGGCUGAAUAGUAUUCUAUUGUAUAUAUGUACCACAAUAAGAUGAUUUUUUGGAAAAGGAAGCCUGAUACCUAUUCAUAAUCUCUUCUAUAAAGGUUAUCUGCUACUCCCACUGGCAUUAUCUGAUGUCUAGCUAGAACCUUGUUUUACUUUUCUGAUUGAGUGUGCUUCCUUUAUUAAGGUGUUCCAGGGUGGGCCUGUGUGCCUAAUUAAAAGAACAAAUUGGAGUUCCUGUUGUGACUUAGUGGAAAUGAAUCUGACUGGCAUCCAUGAGGAUGUAAGUUGGAUCCCUGGCCUUGCUCAGUGGGUUAAGGAUCCAGCAUUGCUGUGAUCUGUGGUGUAGGUCGCAGACACGGCUCAGAUCCUGUGUUGCUAUGCCUGUGGUGUAAGCUGGCAGCUACAGCUCCAAUUGGACCCCUAGCCUGGGAACCUCCAUACGCAGUGGGUGCAGCCCUAAAAAGAAAAAAAAAAAAA